GACGAACGCUGGCGGCGUGCCUAAUACAUGCAAGUCGAACGCUUCUUUCCUCCCGAGUGCUUGCACUCAAUUGGAAAGAGGAGUGGCGGACGGGUGAGUAACACGUGGGUAACCUACCCAUCAGAGGGGGAUAACACUUGGAAACAGGUGCUAAUACCGCAUAACAGUUUAUGCCGCAUGGCAUAAGAGUGAAAGGCGCUUUCGGGUGUCGUUGAUGGAUGGACCCGCGGUGCAUUAGCUAGUUGGUGAGGUAACGGCUCACCAAGGCCACGAUGCAUAGCCGACCUGAGAGAGUGAUCGGCCACACUGGAACUGAGACACGGCCCAGACUACUACGGGAGGCAGCAGUAGGGAAUCUUCGGCAAAGGACGAAAGUCUGACCGAGCAACGCCGCGUGAGUGAAGAAGGUUUUCGGAUCGUAAAACUCUGUUGUUAGAGAAGAACAAGGACGUUAGUAACUGAACGUCCCCUGACGGUAUCUAACCAGAAAGCCACGGCUAACUACGUG
rnacentral:rRNA from 1 species